UGCCGAUGAUGAGAAGUCCAAAUGGGUCGUUUCUCGAAACAUUCGCAGUACCCGUCCCGAGCGCUUUCGCCUUGCCGGGCUUGAGAGCGGAUGCGGCUCCUUCCUUGGAUGUCUGAGGCA
rfam:Klebsormidium nitens DNA, contig: KFL_1811.